rnacentral:rRNA from 1 species
UACAGAGGGGGCGAGCGUUGUUCGGAAUUACUGGGCGUAAAGGGCGCGUAGGCGGCCUCUUAAGUCGAACGUGAAAUCCCCGGGCUCAACCCGGGAACUGCGUCCGAUACUGGGGGGCUUGAAUCCGGGAGAGGGAUGUGGAAUUCCAGGUGUAGCGGUGAAAUGCGUAGAUAUCUGGAGGAACACCGGUGGCGAAGGCGGCAUCCUGGACCGGUAUUGACGCUGAGGCGCGAAAGCAUGGGGAGCGAACAGG